UACGUAGGGGGCAAGCGUUAUCCGGAAUCAUUGGGCGUAAAGCGUACCGAUAGGUGGUCUAAAAAGUCAGAAGUGAAAUCUCAAGGCUCAACUUUGAGACUGUCUUUUGAAACUUUUAGACUAGAGGGGCAAAGAGGAAGCUGGAACGAACGGUGUAGUAGUGAAAUGCGUUGAUAUCGUUCGGAACACCAAUAGCGAAGGCGGGCUUCUGGGUGCCACCUGACACUGCUAGGACGAAAGCGUGGGGAGCGAAUGGG
rnacentral:rRNA from 1 species